rnacentral:tRNA from 1 species
GCUGUAGCCCAGUGGUAGAACAUCUGCCUGGCAUGCAGGCGAUCCUAGGUUCAAUCCCCAUCAUCUCCA